rfam:Nicotiana attenuata strain TT chromosome 3, whole genome shotgun sequence.
GUGUUCGUAGAAAGAAGAGAUGGUUGGCAUCUCCCCCAAUAGGGACAGGAAGUCGGGAACAGCCUUCGGGCUUUACAUGUUGCCACACACAUCCGCGGUUAAGGCUACCACUUCGGUGGAUCUUACCCCAACUUUAU